rnacentral:rRNA from 1 species
AGGCCUAACACAUGCAAGUCGAACGGUAACAGGGAUUGCUUGCAAUCCGCUGACGAGUGGCGCACGGGUGCGUAACGCGUAUGCAAUCUGCCUAUAACUGAGGAAUAGCCCAGAGAAAUUUGGAUUAAUACCUCAUAACAUUGUUUUUUGGCAUCAUUAAACAAUUAAAACUUCGGUGGUUAUAGAUGAGCAUGCGUCCUAUUAGCUUGUUGGUAAGGUAACGGCUUACCAAGGCAACGAUAGGUAGGGGGCCUGAAAGGGUGAUCCCCCACACUGGUACUGAGACACGGACCAGACUCCUACGGGAGGCAGCAGUGAGGAAUAUUGCGCAAUGGAGGAAACUCUGACGCAGCCAUGCCGCGUGCAGGAAGACGGCCCUACGGGUUGUAAACUGCUUUUAUAUAGGAAGAAACCCCGAUACGUGUAUCGGC